GUGACUGAUCCUAGGGUGUGAAGGCUUUGAGUGAAGCUGAGUGGUAGACUGCUUGCCUGCUAUGCAUAUGGCCCAGGGCUUGAUCCCCACACUAAUAAGUAAAUGCUGGAAAUUAAAUGGGCUAAUGAAGGAGAUCAGGUAAAUCACCUCAUACAAAAUGUGCCGUUCAAGUGUUUAUGCCCCUACUGUUGGAGCUGUAAGGACACUUGGAACCAAAAGGACCGAAAACUUUGCUGUGACAAGAAUUUUAGCUAAAAAUGACAUAUGCACAGCCUACCGAGAAGCCACUGGAUGACUUUGGGUAAUACUGAGAUUGAAACACCCUGUAGGCAAAUGCUCCAUCCAUCACUGGGCUGCACUCCUAGCACCUUUGAGAUUCUAUUGAGAUAGACUCUUGACAAGGGUGGGGUUCAGCCUUUUGAUCUAGCACUUAGAGGCUAGGGUCCAGGCUGCCUACUGAGGUCCUGUCUCACAAAAAAACAACAACAAAAAGAUCUCCAUGCAUUUCUCAGACUUGGGAUCUUCUUCCUUCAACAUCCUCAGUGCUGGGAACACAGGCAUAGGCUACCAUAUAAUACCUUUUUAAUUUCUUGUUUAUCAUUUGUGCGCAAGUGUGCACGCCUGCAUGCUGGCUGACUGACUGUGAGUAGGUAUCUAUAACCCAUAACACUUGGUGUAGAGGUAAGAUGACAAUUGUGUAGUCAUUUCUCUCCCUCCAUCAUGUGUUCAAGAGAUAGUAUGGCGAGUAGUUCUACUUGCUAAACUGUCUUGCUAGCCCUGCACAUCCUUUUUGAUUUAAAAUGUAAAAAAUUUUUGAUUAUGUGUGUUUGUCUAUAUAUGGGAUUAUGGGAAUUUACCACUACAGCUAGUUAUGGUAUGGUAUGAUUUUACAGUCAACCCAGGUAAUUGAUUAAAAACUAGGGUUUGAAGGAUACGUGUAUAAGAGAGCAGGUGCCCAUUGGAAGCCAGAGGCCAAUGUCUGAUGUCCUGAAGUUGUAAGCUCCCUGACAUGGGUACUGGAAAUCAAAUUCCUGUAAGAGGUUUUUUCAAAUAUUCUUCAUCAGUAAGCUGUCUUACAAGGAUCUACACUUAACUAGGAUAUAACUAGUGGGGGAUCUACACUUAACUAGUAGAUAACUAGUGGGGUACUAAGAAUGUAGCUAGCUCAGUGGUGGAGUGCUUGCCUUAACAUUCCUGAAGUCCUGGUCAGUCAUCUAUAAUCAUAGCCCCUGGAAGGCUGAGGCAGAAGGAUCACAAUGUAGAAGCCAACCUGGGCUAUUUAUUUAGUAAGACCUUAUCUCAAGAAAAUCAAAAUAGGUAUACUGACUUAUCCUUAAUAAAUCCUAGCACUCAGAAGUCUGAGGCAGGACAAUUGCUGCAUGGUUGGGCAAGCCCGGGCUGGGAGACUCGCAUCCCCCGCUUUUUUUUCCCCCUGUGUAUGUGUUAUACCAUCCUUUUUAAAAUCUUAGUUUGAGAUGGCCUUGCCAAGUUAGUCAGGCUGUGUAUCUUAGGCAGUCCUCAAACUCUGACAUCCUCUGCUUCUGCCUCCUGAGUCUCUGGGAAUACAAGUGUGUGGUACCAGGUUCACUUGUAGACUCUUGGGUUUUUGUUUGUUGGUUGGUUUUGGUUUUGAAAACAGGGUUUCUCUGUGUAGCCACUGGCUGUCCUGGAACUCACACUGUAGCCCAGGCUAGCCUCAAACUCAAGAUAUCUACCUGCCUUUUCCUUCCAGUGCUGGGAAUAAGGCAUGUGCCUUUAUUUGGGUGUGCGCUGCCACACUCAGCUGUACAGUAUUCUUUUGCAACAAAAUCAUAGACAAAUUUCCUUUCAAAAAGAACUUGAGCAUUGAAAGUCCUUUGUGCUGCCUGAGUUCAAGCCACGGCUGUGGCAGUCUGACAGGUAAAGUUUAUGCAGCUCUCAGGAGCAGGGUGAGCGCCGUCCUCCUAGUUCCCAAGUUAUCCUUCCCUCCCUGAAGACAGAGAAAGAAGAGUAAAAAACUAAUUUUAAUCAGAGAUCUUUUUGUUUUCAGACCAGAAGGGACACCCUUUGAAGAUGGUAAGUAAUUCUUAUUAUCUACAUAUUAAAAGGGUGCCCUUUGGUCAGAGACUCUAACAGUAUUUGAAGACAGGCUCUACUCUUAAUAAGCUCUUGGCAUACUAAGCAAGCAAAUGAAAACUU
rnacentral:lncRNA from 1 species